AUACGUAGGUGACAAGCGUUAUCCGGAUUUACUGGGCGUAAAGGGCGUGUAGGCGGUCUUGCAAGUCAGAAGUGAAAUUCCUGAGCUCAACUCGGGCGCUGCUUCUGAAACUGCAGGACUUGAGUGCUGGAGGGGAUAGCGGAAUUCCUAGUGGAGCGGUAAAAUGCGCAGAUAUUAGGAAGAACACCGGUGGCGAAGGCGGCUAUCUGGACAGUAACGGACGCUGAGGCGCGAAAGCGUGGGGAGCAAACAGGAUUAGAUACCCUGGUAGUCCACGCUGUAAACGAUGAAUGCUAGGUGUAGGGGGUAUCGACCCCUCCCGUGCCGGAGUAAACGCAAUAAGCAUUCCGCCUGGGGAGUACGGCCGCAAGGUUGAAACUUAAAGGAAUUGACGGGG
rnacentral:rRNA from 1 species